AUUGAACGCUGGCGGCAGGCCUAACACAUGCAAGUCGAGCGAGCGGCGGAGGGGGGAGAAUUGUAUGGGGACUGCCCGUUAGAGGGGGAUAACACCUGGAAACGGUGGCUAUAACGGCAUACUAUCGGAUAACCCAUAUGGGAUUAGCGAGUUGGUGGGGUAAUGGCUCACCAAGGCGACGAUCCCUAGCUGGUCUGAGAGGAUGAUCAGCCACACUGGGACUGAGACACGGCCCAGACUCCUACGGAGGCAGCAGUGGGGAAUAUUGCACAAUGGGCGCAAGCCUGAUGCAGCCAUGCCGCGUGUAUGAAGAAGGCCCUAGGGUUGUAAAGUACUUUCAGUCGGGAGGCGUUACCGACAGAAGAAGCACCGGCUAACUCCGUGCCAGCCGCCGCGGUAAUAC
rnacentral:rRNA from 1 species